AUGCUGGGAGCCUGGGGUGCCUUGCCUCAGCCCAGGCAGAGGCUGUCCAGCACCCUGGGUCCCUGUUCCCCAUCUGGUGGUCCCAAUGCCGGCCGAGCUCGCUCCUCACACCCCAACUGCCUGUGGUGCCCACAACAGGKGGAAGACGGAGCAGGCGGCCAGGCUGUCCACGUCACUUAUGCGGGAGAUGGUGGCUGUGAAGUUGGAGGAGCAGCUGGUGGCAAAGAGGCAUGGGAUCACUUUUUGGCUGCAGUGAGUUGCCGCGUGGGACUUGGUGUGCCAGGGCUCAUUUGCGGGGGGUGGGAUGCCCAGGCUGGCGGUCCCAAGGCAUCCAUCAGCUUCUCACUUCUCAACACUGACAUUUCUCAGGAUCCCUUCUCCCUGGGUUGCGGAGGUGGUGGUUGUUUCUGGGCUCAGUAGGGAGAUAAAGAGCAGAGGCAAGAUGCUUGGGCCCUUAACGUGAGGCCCAGGAACGGGGCAGGGGAGUGGUGUGCCCAGCAUGGUGCAGGGUGCCAGUUGCUGGCCUGGUGGCAUCUGCAGAUGAUGUCUGGAAACAGAUGAGACAGAUUUCUCCCCUCCGCUGUCUUAACCCUCUCCUGGCCUGCAGGAAGCUGUUUGUGUUCCUUGCCUGCCUGCAGCUCACGUUGCUCUGCCUGGUCCUGCUCAAGAGGGACAGCAUCAGCUGGGACCUGCCCUGCAGGCUGGCACCCACCUUUGGGAGCUGCCCAGCGUGGCCACCACCCUUCUGAUACCCCUGGCCUUGCACUGUGUGGGGUAGAGAGUGACAGGGACACUGGGCGCYGUGCAGACGGGCAAAUGUCCAACCGUACAGCACCACCCUUCUCCCGGGGCACCGCUGCACACAUCUGGAAUGGCAUGUGCAGGCACACUCCACAGCCAGCUGUGACUACACCUUGCUGUGGAGGAUGUUUGCCUGCCAAAUAUGUGCCACCAAGCUCACCCUGCCUUUAACAAUAUAAAGCACAACUGAGAACCCUGA
rnacentral:lncRNA from 1 species